UACGUAGGCAGCAAGCGUUGUUCGGAAUUACUGGGCGUAAAGAGUGUGUAGGCGGUGUUCUAAGUCUGUUGUGAAAUCUCCCGGCUUAACUGGGAGGGUGCGGCGGAAACUGGAAUGCUAGAGGAUGGGAGAGGUAAGCGGAAUUCCUGGUGUAGCGGUGAAAUGCGUAGAUAUCAGGAGGAACACCUGUGGUGUAGACAGCUUACUGGACCAUUUCUGACGCUGAGGCGCGAAAGCUAGGGGAGCAAACAGG
rnacentral:rRNA from 1 species